CACGAACGCUGGCGGCAGGCUUAACACAUGCAAGUCGAACGCGUGUAGCAAUACACGAGUGGCGCACGGGUGAGUAACGCGUGGAUAUCUGCCUUUUGGUUCGGAAUAACCCCGGGAAACUGGGGCUAAUACCGGAUGGUUCCUUCGGGAUAAAGAUUUAUCGCCAAAAGAUGAGUCCGCGUACGAUUAGCUAGUUGGUGAGGUAAUGGCUCACCAAGGCGACGAUCGUUAGCUGGUCUGAGAGGACGAUCAGCCACACUGGGACUGAGACACGGCCCAGACUCCUACGGGAGGCAGCAGUGGGGAAUAUUGGACAAUGGGGGCAACCCUGAUCCAGCCAUGCCGCGUGAGUGAUGAAGGCCUUCGGGUUGUAAAGCUCUUUUGGCGGGGACGAUGAUGACGGUACCCGCAGAAUAAGCCCCGGCUAACUUCGUGCCAGCCGCCGCAGUAACAC
rnacentral:rRNA from 1 species